UACGUAGGGUGCAAGCGUUGUCCGGAAUUACUGGGCGUAAAGGGCUCGUAGGCGGCCAACUAAGUCAAACGUGAAAUCCCUCGGCUUAACCGGGGAACUGCGUCUGAUACUGGAUGGCUUGAGUUUGGGAGAGGGAUGCGGAAUUCCAGGUGUAGCGGUGAAAUGCGUAGAUAUCUGGAGGAACACCGGUGGCGAAGGCGGCAUCCUGGACCAACACUGACGCUGAGGAGCGAAAGCCAGGGGAGCAAACGGG
rnacentral:rRNA from 1 species